UGGAACAACACGAGUAUUCACUCACUAAUCAUUGAAUAAACCUUAACUUGAGAAGCUAACGAGGUUACAGUUCGGGAAAUUUAAGUGUUACAUAUGAUUUCGAUAUAGGUAGUUACUUUAGGGGGAAAUAAAAGGAAAAUAGCUAGAGUAACGGAGGAGUAUUUACUUAAUAAUCAUUGAAUAAGCCUUAAGUUGAGAAUCUAACGAGGUUGCAGUUCAUAACAUUGAAGUUUUAGAUAUGAUUUCAACUGUUAGAUAUGAUUUCAAUAUAGGUAGUUACUUUAGGGGGA